rnacentral:pre_miRNA from 1 species
GAGGUACUCCCUCCAUUCCAAAUUACUCGUCGUAGAAAUGGAUGUAUCUAGAACUAAAAUACAUGUAGAUACAUCCAUACUUGCGACAAGUAAUUCGGAACGGAGGGAGUACAUU